rnacentral:rRNA from 1 species
AGAGUUUGAUCCUGGCUCAGAUUGAACGCUGGCGGCAUGCUUUACACAUGCAAGUCGAACGGCAGCACGGGCUUCGGCCUGGUGGCGAGUGGCGAACGGGUGAGUAAUGCGUCGGAACGCGCCGAGUAGUGGGGGAUAACGCAGCGAAAGCUGUGCUAAUACCGCAUACGUACUGAGGUAGAAAGUGGGGGACCUUCGGGCCUCACGCUAUUCGAGCGGCCGACGUCUGAUUAGCUAGUUGGUGGGGUAAAGGCUCACCAAGGCGACGAUCAGUAGCGGGUCUGAGAGGAUGAUCCGCCACACUGGGACUGAGACACGGCCCAGACUCCUACGGGAGGCAGCAGUGGGGAAUUUUGGACAAUGGGCGCAAGCCUGAUCCAGCCAUGCCGCGUGUCUGAAGAAGGCCUUCGGGUUGUAAAGGACUUUUGUCCGGGA